AGGGCGAGGCUUGUGUAAUCCUGUGUUUAUUGAAUGGCCAGUAUUGCACUCCCCCCGGCCUUU
rnacentral:pre_miRNA from 1 species